rnacentral:rRNA from 2 species
CGGGAGGCAGCAGUAGGGAAUCUUCCACAAUGGACGAAAGUCUGAUGGAGCAACGCCGCGUGAGUGAUGAAGGUUUUCGGAUCGUAAAACUCUGUUGUUAAAGAAGAACAAGUGUUAGAGUAACUGUUAACACUUUGACGGUAUUUAACCAGAAAGCCACGGCUAACUACGUGCCAGCAGCCGCGGUAAUACGUAGGUGGCAAGCGUUGUCCGGAUUUAUUGGGCGUAAAGCGAGCGCAGGCGGUUUUGUAAGUCUGCUGUGAAAGCCCUCAGCUCAACUGAGGAAGUGCAGUGGAAACUACAAAACUUGAGUACAGAAGAGGAAAGUGGAACUCCAUGUGUAGCGGUGAAAUGCGUAGAUAUAUGGAAGAACACCAGUGGCGAAGGCGGCUUUCUGGUCUGUUACUGACGCUGAGGCUCGAAAGCAUGGGUAGCGAACAGGAUUAGAUACCCUGGUAGUCCAUGCCGUAAACGAUGAAUACUAGGUGUUGGAGGGUUUCCGCCCUUCAGUGCCGCAGCUAACGCAUUAAGUAUUCCGCCUGGGGAGUACGACCGCAAGGUUGAAACUCAAAGGAAUUGACGGGGGCCCGCACAAGUGGUGGAGCAUGUGGUUUAAUUCGAUGCUACGCGAAGAACCUUACCAGCUCUUGACAUCUUCUGCCAACCCAAGAGAUUGGGCGUUCCCUUCGGGGACAGAAUGACAGGUGGUGCAUGGUUGUCGUCAGCUCGUGUCGUGAGAUGUUGGGUUAAGUCCCGCAACGAGCGCAACCCUUAUUAUUAGUUGCCAGCAUUUAGUUGGGCACUCUAGUGAGACUGCCGGUGAUAAACCGGAGGAAGGUGGGGACGACGUCAAAUCAUCAUGCCCCUUAUGAGCUGGGCUACACACGUGCUACAAUGGAUGGUACAACGAGUCGCGAAACCGCGAGGUCAAGCUAAUCUCUUAAAGCCAUUCUCAGUUCGGAUUGCAGGCUGCAACUCGCCUGCAUGAAGUUGGAAUCACUAGUAAUCGUGGAUCAGCAUGCCACGGUGAAUACGUUCCCGGGCCUUGUACAUCAC